rnacentral:rRNA from 1 species
UACGUAGGGUGCAAGCGUUGUCCGGAAUUAUUGGGCGUAAAGAGCUCGUAGGCGGUCUGUCGCGUCGGAUGUGAAAAUCCAGGGCUUAACCCUGGACCUGCAUUCGAUACGGGCAGACUAGAGUUCGGUAGGGGAGACGUGGAAUUCCUGGUGUAGCGGUGAAAUGCGCAGAUAUCAGGAAGAACACCAAUGGCGAAGGCAGCUCGCUGGGACGGUACUGACGCUGAGACGCGAAAGCGUGGGGAGCAAACAGG